rnacentral:rRNA from 1 species
GGGACACGUGGUAUCCUGUCUGAAUAUGGGGGGACCAUCCUCCAAGGCUAAAUACUCCUGACUGACCGAUAGUGAACCAGUACCGUGAGGGAAAGGCGAAAAGAACCCCGGCGAGGGGAGUGAAAAAGAACCUGAAACCGUGUACGUACAAGCAGUGGGAGCACGCUUAGGCGUGUGACUGCGUACCUUUUGUAUAAUGGGUCAGCGACUUAUAUUCUGUAGCAAGGUUAACCGAAUAGGGGAGCCGAAGGGAAACCGAGUCUUAACUGGGCGUUAAGUUGCAGGGUAUAGACCCGAAACCCGGUGAUCUAGCCAUGGGCAGGUUGAAGGUUGGGUAACACUAACUGGAGGACCGAACCGACUAAUGUUGAAAAAUUAGCGGAUGACUUGUGGCUGGGGGUGAAAGGCCAAUCAAACCGGGAGAUAGCUGGUUCUCCCCGAAAGCUAUUUAGGUAGCGCCUCGUGAAUUCAUCUCCGGGGGUAGAGCACUGUUUCGGCAAGGGGGUCAUCCCGACUUACCAACCCGAUGCAAACUGCGAAUACCGGAGAAUGUUAUCACGGGAGACACACGGCGGGUGCUAACGUCCGUCGUGAAGAGGGAAACAACCCAGACCGCCAGCUAAGGUCCCAAAGUCAUGGUUAAGUGGGAAACG